rnacentral:rRNA from 1 species
GAUGAACGCUGGCGGCGUGCCUAAUACAUGCAAGUCGAACGAAACUUCUUUAUCACCGAGUGCUUGCACUCACCGAUAAAGAGUUGAGUGGCGAACGGGUGAGUAACACGUGGGCAACCUGCCCAAAAGAGGGGGAUAACACUUGGAAACAGGUGCUAAUACCGCAUAACCAUAGUUACCGCAUGGUAACUAUGUAAAAGGUGGCUAUACUACCGCUUUUGGAUGGGCCCGCGGCGCAUUAGCUAGUUGGUAGGGUAAAGGCUUACCAAGGCAAUGAUGCGUAGCCGAAUUGAGAGGUUGAUCGGCCACAUUGGGACUGAGACACGGCCCAAACUCCUACGGGAGGCAGCAGUAGGGAAUCUUCCACAAUGGGCGAAAGCCUGAUGGAGCAACGCCGCGUGGGUGAAGAAGGUCUUCGGAUCGUAAAACCCUGUUGUUAGAGAAGAAAGUGCGUGAGAGUAACUGUUCACGUUUCGACGGUAUCUAACCAGAAAGCCACGGCCAACUACGUG